rnacentral:rRNA from 1 species
AUUGAACGCUGGCGGCAGGCCUAACACAUGCAAGUCGAGCGGAUGAAGGGAGCUUGCUCCUGGAUUCAGCGGCGGACGGGUGAGUAAUGCCUAGGAAUCUGCCUGGUAGUGGGGGAUAACGUCCGGAAACGGGCGCUAAUACCGCAUACGUCCUGAGGGAGAAAGUGGUGGAUCUUCGGACCUCACGCUAUCAGAUGAGCCUAGGUCGGAUUAGCUAGUUGGUGGGGUAAAGGCCUACCAAGGCGACGAUCCGUAACUGGUCUGAGAGGAUGAUCAGUCACACUGGAACUGAGACACGGUCCAGAAUCCUACGGGAGGCAGCAGUGGGGAAUAUUGGACAAUGGGCGAAAGCAUGAUCCAGCCAUGCCGCGUGUGUGAAGAAGGUCUUCGGAUUGUAAAGCACUUUAAGUUGGGAGGAAGGGAAGUAAGUUAAUACCUUGCUGGUUUGACGUUACCAACAGAAUAAGCACCGGCUAACUUCGUG